AGGCCAAAUGUGAGUAUUACGUGGAAAAAACACACACAUUCCGAUGUAUGAAGAAAAAAAUGGCUGACGUAUCUCCACGAGAAACCAUCAAUGUAGAUGGCUGGGAGGUAGUGUCAUCAACAUGAGAUAUACCAAUUGUAUUAUGGUAGUGUAAUACUGAAGGGUCCCUGCAGAAGGUGGGUGUCCGCAUCAGGGGCAGGAUAUGUGUAUAUGUCGUAUGAUAUACAUCUCAUCCACUCACUGUGAUCCUGACCAUCGUGAUGGAGCUGGCUUCUAAAGGAUAGGCAUGAACAAUGUCACACUGGACACUGGGCAGGACAUCUCUCUUCCUAUUAUGGUCACUUUAGAAAUAUAAGGAAUGCCAAUAGCUUUGACAUCCCACAAAAACUCCACAUCAUUUUGUAGUCACGCCAUUUGUUAAGUGAAUGACAGAUGUGUUGAAAGAUACAGAUGUCAAAAAUGUGACCAUCAAACCAUGCAACAGACAGACAAACCAACUCAGUAUAGAUCUGGAUGAUUUGGUGACACACAUCCCUCCUAUUACUGAGGUGAAAAAACAUUUUUGGCUUGAAAACAAAGUCUCAGAAUCUGUUUCACUUUGCUCACAAGUGCUUUAUUUUAGCAUGUGAUGACUUCUACAAUUUGAAGGUAUACAUCUCAAGAACACUUCACUUCAUCACAGUACAGUGUUUGGAUUGAAGACGCUUUACAAAAUCAGGGGAAGUAACUGUGAUUUGCCCAUGUGCCUGCUUGGUAGUCUCACUAUAAAAUCGUCAGUUACUCCAGCCAGAUGUUUUUUCCUUCUACCUCAUUAGUUGACUGCAGCACUAGUAUUUCUCAGGUAAAACAUAUAAAAAUACUCUGCCAGGGAAAACCCUGUUUAGAAAUUUAUUCACUCCAUGUGUGCAAUAAAAUAGUCAAACAGUGUGAAAAGGUGUGAAAAAAAAUGAUGGUGCUAAUUAUUGUGUAAAUCUUUUAUGUUAAAUUUUUUUCCUCCUAUGAUUAUAUGCUUAUAUUCUGUAUCAAGCAAAAGGUUGUUGUUUAUAUACUGCUUAUAUACCAU